CCUUCUGCCAAGUGAAAGUAUAGCAAAAAGAUGGCUAUCUAUGAACCAGGAAGUGGCCCUCACCAAACACUAAAUCUGUGGGUGCCUUGAUCUUGGACUUCUGGUCUCCAGAACUGUGAGAAAUAAAUUUCUGUUGUUUACAAGCUGUGCGAUUUAUAGUGGUUUAUUACAGCAGCCUGAAUGCACGGAGAUUUCUUCACUCAACAUCCCCAAGAAGCGGUGGAACAAUUUGGUAGUAAAAGUCACCGAGAGUGGGAGCAGCCAGUUCAUGUUUGUGCAAACGCCCUGUUCCUGCUCUCUCACCUCACACCUGUUUCCUUCCUUCAGGUCUUCUCAUCUACACCCUGCCUUUCUUGAGGUCAGAUGCUGUCCCCCGUACUUGGACACUCUUCCCUCACUUCUUUUACCCAGUGAGCUCUUGUUUUUAUUCUCCAGGCCUCAAUUUACAUAUCUCCAGCUUUCUCUAAGAUUUCCUCCCUGCUCUUCCCGGACAAGCCCAGGUUGCCAGCCCCAGCGUGGUCUCCUGCCCCCUCUACUCACGCUCCUUAGAACUCUUGCCCUUGUUGCUACUAUCUGUCCCGCACCUCUCUUUCCCACCAGACCUUGAGAAGAAGAAAGACCGAGACUGGAUGUUGCCACUGUUGGAUCUCCAGCACUGGGUCCAGUUUCAGAGCAGACCAGACCCUCCGCAUACACCGGCUGGAUGCGGGAAGAGAGGCGCUCCGAGCACCACAGGAAGGGAGUCUAGGAAGGGCCCCACCUCACCCUGAGCAUGUGUUCCUGACAUUUCAUUGUGAGCCAGGGGAAUAAACAAAACCCACCCCCUGAGUCCAGCGAAGGACGCCUUCGGGGGAUCUCUGAACUCCAGGCAGAUAAGUGUUUUUCCCACUCAGGGCCCCCCUUGUGCGCUGUGGUUUUUCCUGAGCUUACAUGACACCACUGUAAGGGAGAUGGAUGGCUUUAUUUUUGUGCAGAACAAAUGUACAGAUGGUGACCCCCCGACCAAAAGAAAAAGAAAAAAAUGAGUGUGCAGAGGCGGGAGGAGGAGGCAGGGGGAAUCCAUGUUUGCCUCUCUUCUCCCUAUCUUUUCACUUCUCCUGGGUCUCCUGAAAAUGUCGCCAAAGGCCCCAUCUGUGGUUACUGGAGAUAGUGACAGGAGCCCAUUUUCUUUUCAAAUUAUCUGUUCAUCGAGGUAAAAAUAAGGACAUGCUUUUAGAAUUUUAAGGCAAUUGUAAGAAGUUAUAAGGAAGAAAGAUGAUGUCUGGUACAAAUUAGAACUCAAUAAAUAUUUGUGGAAGGAAGAAAAGAAAAAAAAUCCCUCCAAACCCCACUCCUAUCAAUAUUUUGAUGAGCAUUCGUCUAUAUAUUUAUGUGUAUUCCAACUACAUAACAAACAGGAUCAUACUAUAUUCAGAUAUAACAUAUUCAUGCUUUCUAUAGAUGCAUAAUAAAUGCAGCACAAUUACUAUAUUUACUAUUUACUGCUGAAUUUAUAUAGAAUGAUUACUAUGUAUGUGAACAUCAUACAUUUAUACUGUAUACACACAUAUAGUAUGUAUUUACAUAGAAUGAUUACUAUGUAUGUGAACAUCAUACAUUUAUACUGUAUACACACAUGUAGUAUGUAUUUACAUAGAACGAUUACUAUGUAUGUGAACAUCAUACAUUUAUAUUGUAUACACACACAUGUAGUAUGUAUUUACAUAGAACGAUUACUAUGUAUGUGAACAUCAUACAUUUAUAUUGUAUACACACACAUGUAGUAUGUAUUUACAUAGAACGAUUACUAUGUAUGUGAACAUCAUACAUUUAUACUGUAUACACACAUGUAGUAUGUAUUUACAUAGAACGAUUACUAUGUAUGUGAACAUCAUACAUUUAUACUGUAUACACACACAUGUAGUAUGUAUUUACAUAGAACGAUUACUAUGUAUGUGAAAAUCAUACAUUUAUAUUGUAUACACACACAUGUAGUAUGUAUUUACAUAGAACGAUUACUAUGUAUGUGAACAUCAUACAUUUAUACUGUAUACACACACAUGUAGUAUGUAUUUACAUAGAACGAUUACUAUGUAUGUGAACAUCAUACAUUUAUACUGUAUACACACACAUGUAGUAUGUAUUUACAUAGAACGAUUACUAUGUAUGUGAACAUCAUACAUUUAUAUUGUAUACACACACAUGUAGUAUGUAUUUACAUAGAACGAUUACUAUGUAUGUGAACAUCAUACAUUUAUAUUGUAUACACACACAUGUAGUAUGUAUUUACAUAGAACGAUUACUAUGUAUGUGAACAUCAUACAUUUAUAUUGUAUACACACACAUGUAGUAUGUAUUUACAUAGAACGAUUACUAUGUAUGUGAACAUCAUACAUUUAUACUGUAUACACACACAUAUAGUAUGUAUUUACGUAGAACGAUUACUAUGUAUGUGAACAUCAUACAUUUAUACUGUAUACACACACAUGUAGUAUGUAUUUACGUAGAACGAUUUACUAUGUAUGUGAACAUCAUACAUUUAUACUGUAUACACACACAUAUAGUGUGUAUUUACAUAGAACGAUUACUAUGUAUGUGAACAUCAUACAUUUAUAUUGUAUACACACACAUAUAGUGUGUAUUUACAUAGAACGAUUACUAUGUAUGUGAACAUCAUACAUUUAUACUGUAUACACACACAUGUAGUAUGUACUACAUGACAUUGUACUAUCCUGUAUUGUACUAUAGUGUAUGCUGCAAUGGUUUUUUGUUUGUUUUUGAGAUGGAGUCUUGCCCUGUCGCCCAGGCUGUGGUGCAGUGGUGAAAUCUCAGCUCAUUGCAACCUCUGCCUCACAGGUUCAAGCAGUUCUCCUGCCUCAGCCUCCUGAGUAGCUGGGAUUACAGGCACGCACUAGCGUGCCUGGCUAAUUUUUGUAUUUUUAGUAGAGACAAGGUUUCACCAUGAUGGCCAAGCUGGUCUUGAACUCCUGACCUCAAGUGAUCCUCCCACCUCAGCCUCUUAAAGUGCUGGGAUUACAGGCACGAACCACUGCGCCCCGCUAGUAUAUGCUACUAUGCUCUAAAAAGUGCAUGCUCCUGUUAUACUUACAGACAGGAUCGUACUGUUUGAGGUGUUUCACCAUUGGCUUUUUUGUUUACCAUGCCCUGGACAUCUUUCCAUGUCUAUGAAUUUUAGAGCAAAUUCAUCCCAUUUCAAGGCUGCCAAGUAGCUAUUUGUGUGACUGUGCUAUCCCUUACUUAACCACUCCAAGAGAGCCACUUGUGAAACCCCCACCUUAAAGUAAUCUCAUACUUCAAUUUUUAUUCUCUUGUGACUCUAUCUCUCUGCUGUCUUGUAGCCAUAUACAUUCGAGGUCAGAGUUUUCUACUCCCUCAGUUGCAAAGUUGUCAGUAUCAGGACAAGGGGUACACAUUUGCAGAAAUCUUUUUGUAUUUCUCUGUGGUGCUUUGGUUUGAACCAAAUAGUCCUCUCCUCUCUGCCUUCACCCACCUAAUUAAUUUCCACAAUUUUUUUUUUUUUUUUUUUGUGAUGGCGAUGACUGUAUCAGGCUUUAAAAGGAUGGUAUCUGGAGAUUCAUAGUUUUUCAAAAGCUCUUUGUUUUUUUCUGAUGAACAGCCAGAACUAAGAAACAGGAAGGCAUAGAAAGAACAUGGUCUCUCAUGUUCAAAGGGGCCAAAUUCUUGUUCGACCUUUGACCUUCCAUUAAACAGUUUCCUCAUCUGCACAACUUGGGAAAUUAUAACUGAAAUUACCUUGCAGUGUUAUUAUGAGGAUUACGGGUAAGUAAGUGCCUGACACACAGAACUGCCUUAGCAAUGUCAGCUUCUGUUUUUGAGAGUGGUGGGAAGCAGGAGACAAAAGGUUCUGGAAUGAACCAUAUCUGCAUUUGAAUCUGAGCUCAGCUUCUAUUUUUUAUUAUUUUUAAAAUUAUUAAAAAAUUAUUUUUGUUUUUAUUUUUAUUUUUUGAGACAGUCUUGCUCUGUCACCCAGGCUGGAGUGCAUGCGGCACAAACAUGGCUCACUGCAGCCUCUACCUCCCAGACUCAAGCAAUCCCCCCACUUUAGCCUUCUUAGUAGCUGGGAUUACAGAUAUGCACCACCAUGACUGGCUAAUUUCUUAAUUUUUAGUAGAGACAGGGUCUCACUAUGUUGCCCCAGGCAGGUCUCAAGCUCCUGGUCUCAAUCUAUCCUCCCGCCUUGGCCUCCCAGAGUACUGAGAUUACAGGCAUGAGCCAUGGUGCCUGACCCUUUUAAAAUUCUUUUGUAGAGACAGAGGUCUCACUUGCUAUACUGCCUAGGCUGGUCUCAAACUCCUGGCCUCAAGCAAUCCUCCAGUUUUGGCCUCCCAAAGUGCUGGAAUUACAGGCAUAAGUCACCAUGUAUGGCCUUCACCUCUCCAGGUUCUCCCACUGAUGCCAGCAGACCCCGUGCUGAGUCUGGCUUUGAAGAGAAUUGAAGAAUUGGGUUAGAACUCCAUCUGAUGCUGACCUGGCCUGGCCUCCAAACACUGCUUCUCCCACCACUCCUAAGAUUAAGCAACUACUUCUGUGUUUGGGGAAGAGCUGUCGCACCUACCUGAACGCUCACUGUAGAGGGUUUAACUCUUGUUUUCGUUUCUUCAUAAUUCAUUCUCUCAUUCUUUGUCUUGAUUAUCUUUCCAGUAUGCUCCCUAUGCUGUUCUUUCUUUUUCUGAAUAUAUAAGUAAAAUACUUUCUUUGUUGAAAAUUCAGAAUAUACCAAAGAGACUUUAGAAGAAAGUAAAUAUCACCCAUAAUCCCAACACUAAGCGAUAAUAACCACUCUAACAUUUAGGUAUAUUUUCUUCUUUUUUUCUAUGCAUUUAUGUGUCUUUUAAAAAUAUUAAGACUGUACUAUAUAUAUAACUUGUUUUAAAAAAUAUUUGAUUUUUGAACAGAUAGUA